rnacentral:misc_RNA from 1 species
GUGAUUAAAUCGAGGUGUCAUUUACAUUGACCGCUCACCCUUCUCACAUUCACAUAACUUGUGCACUGUUUAUGCUGAGCCGGUUUUCGAGUCCAGUAUCACUAUACAAACUCUAGUCUAUGAAUGUAAACGUUUAAUAACAUAAUA